rnacentral:rRNA from 1 species
AGAGUUUGAUCCUGGCUCAGGAUGAACGCUAGCUACAGGCUUAACACAUGCAAGUCGAGGGGCAUCAGGAAGAAAGCUUGCUUUCUUUGCUGGCGACCGGCGCACGGGUGAGUAACACGUAUCCAACCUGCCCUUUACUCGGGGAUAGCCUUUCGAAAGAAAGAUUAAUACCCGAUAGCAUAAUGAUUCCGCAUGGUUUCAUUAUUAAAGGAUUCCGGUAAAGGAUGGGGAUGCGUUCCAUUAGGUUGUUGGUGAGGUAACGGCCCACCAAGCCUUCGAUGGAUAGGGGUUCUGAGAGGAAGGUCCCCCACAUUGGAACUGAGACACGGUCCAAACUCCUACGGGAGGCAGCAGUGAGGAAUAUUGGUCAAUGGGCGCUAGCCUGAACCAGCCAAGUAGCGUGAAGGAUGAAGGCUCUAUGGGUCGUAAACUUCUUUUAUAUAAGAAUAAAGUGCAGUAUGUAUACUGUUUUGUAUGUAUUAUAUGAAUAAGGAUCGGCUAACUCCGUGCCAGCAGCCGCGGUAAUACGGAGGAUCCGAGCGUUAUCCGGAUUUAUUGGGUUUAAAGGGAGCGUAGGUGGACUGGUAAGUCAGUUGUGAAAGUUUGCGGCUCAACCGUAAAAUUGCAGUUGAUACUGUCAGUCUUGAGUACAGUAGAGGUGGGCGGAAUUCGUGGUGUAGCGGUGAAAUGCUUAGAUAUCACGAAGAACUCCGAUUGCGAAGGCAGCUCACUGGACUGCAACUGACACUGAUGCUCGAAAGUGUGGGUAUCAAACAGGAUUAGAUACCCUGGUAGUCCACACAGUAAACGAUGAAUACUCGCUGUUUGCGAUAUACAGUAAGCGGCCAAGCGAAAGCAUUAAGUAUUCCACCUGGGGAGUACGCCGGCAACGGUGAAACUCAAAGGAAU